rnacentral:rRNA from 1 species
GUAAGGAAUAUUGGUCAAUGCCCGCAAGGGUGAACCAGCCAUUCCGCGUGGAGGAUGAAGGCCCUAUGGGUUGUAAACUUCUUUUAGAUGGGAAGAAAAUGCUAGAUUUUUCUGGUACUGACGGUACCAUCAGAAUAAGCACCGGCUAACUCCGUGCCAGCAGCCGCGGUAAUACGGAGGGUGCGAGCGUUAUCCGGAAUUACUGGGUUUAAAGGGUGCGUAGGCGGAUGAUUAAGUCUAAGGUGAAAGUUUGUCGCUUAACGAUAAAAUUGCCUUGGAUACUGGUUAUCUUGAAUAAGGAUGAGGAUGGCGGAAUGUGGCAUGUAGCGGUGAAAUGCAUAGAUAUGCCAUAGAACACCAAUUGCGAAGGCAGCUAUCUGGUCUUUUAUUGACGCUGAGGCACGAAAGCGUGGGGAUCGAACAGGAUUAGAAACCCCAGUAGUCC